rnacentral:rRNA from 1 species
GACGACCAUAGAGCGUUGGAACCACCUGAUCCCAUCCCGAACUCAGCAGUGAAACGAUGCAUCGCCGAUGGUAGUGUGGGGCUUCCCCAUGUGAGAGUAGGUCAUCGU